GAUAGCUCAGGUGGUCUAAAUGGUUAGAGCGUCCACCUCAGAUGCGGAAGGUCGUGGGUUCGAAUUCCGACCAAAUCA